UAUUGGUGUAAAUGCAGCUAUAAGGUUUGUUACUGUUCCAUAUAAACUUGAUUUAUCAUAAUAACGUAGAGCUAAGUUGGCUAGAUAUUGUUGGAAACUUAGAAGAGUUUUUACAAAAUUCAAACACUGAAAGAUAACAGAUAAGCACAAAAGUUUCUGCUAGAAACUUCUCUUUGCUGUGUCUUUAUUUGAUACUAAGACUCCCUAUUAAAUAGGCAAAAAAAGAUAACAAUAACAAACUAAUUCAGAAAAAUAAGGAAGCACUUAACAUCAUAUGUCACACCUUAUCCUUACAUAAGGUAUAAUAUGAUUCCGUAAUAUGCCUAAUAAAUUAUCAAACUUUACCCAUUGAUAACUCAUUAAAUAUAUUGUUAGGGAUUUUAUAUCAAUUUUCAUUUCUUUUUCAAGUGGUGGGUAUUUUUACAUAGGUAUUAAAAACCUUUAAUUGAAGUUAAGUCAUAAAUCAAAUUUUUAAUUAAUUUAAAAUAUUCGUAAAUUUUACAGAAAAUUCGGUAGAGUGUCGUCUAUAAUUUGAUAAAACAGUUCUUUAAAAACCUGUGAAAACACUCUCAAUAUACAUUUAAAUCUCAAACUCCAAUAUUCUCAUCACAAUCCAAUCUCAAUUCAACAUCAUUUCAAGCAAAUGUCAAAAAAAUAAAAAGGAAGCAUUUCAUUAAAUAAAAUAAUAGAUUUACAUUACAACCAUUUACACAGAUCAAAAACAAAUCCCAAAAUUUAUUACACAACUACUCAAGUCUAAUGUACUUACAUAUAACUACAUAUACAUCAAAAUAAAAAUUAACAAGGGUAUAAUCUAUAUACCCGGUGAUAUCUCCAAAAUAAAGAUCACUGCACGUCAUUAGCAGCCUACCCUGCUGCUUUAUCUGUCUCCUUACCUGCGACAGCAAUAAGAAGCUAUCGCUGAGCCAAAGACUCAGUGGUGCACAACUUAAAGUAAAUAGUAAAUUACGAAACAAUCAAUUUAUCCUUUUUCCAAACUAAAUCAAUUGAAUUUUUAACACAUAAUAAAUCAUGCUUUAUUUCUAAGGCCAGAAAAUCACUCAAUAAAAACAUAUUUCAUUCCAUCAAUCGUAGAAUAAAUUCAAUAAAAGACACAGUGUUGAUCAUGACACGAUUUCCAAUUCAUCCAAAUAACCAUAGGCUAAUGAGGAAUACCAAGGCUAGUUAGCACAAAAAUAUGAGUACUCAUUUAAUUCAUCCUCAACUGGCACACAUCUUAAUACUUCAACCAGAGAGAGAAUACAAAUCUAAUUCAUCCCACUAGGCAUGCUAAUGAGAAAUUCAAACAUAUAGUCAUGACACUGUGGUUUCAAACCACUUCAGCAAUUUUCCAAGUAUCAAAUAUCAAACAAUUCACAUUCAAAUUUGUUUUCCAAAUUUGGGCUAACAACACAAAAUUUUAUUAAUUAAAGAAUUCAAUAUAAUGUUGGCCAUAAAAUUUAUUUCACCACAUAUUCAAUUCCAAAUUUAAUUUGAAAAUCAAAAGACAUUUAGUUGUUGUGCACAAACCUCUAAUGAGUC
rnacentral:misc_RNA from 1 species